UUAACACAUGCAAGUCGAGGGGCAGCAUGUUCUUAGCUUGCUAAGGCCGAUGGCGACCGGCGCACGGGUGAGUAACACGUAUCCAACCUGCCGUCUACUCUUGGACAGCCUUCUGAAAGGAAGAUUAAUACAAGAUGGCAUCAUGAGUCCACAUGUUCACAUGAUUAAAGGUAUUCCGGUAGACGAUGGGGAUGCGUUCCAUUAGAUAGUAGGCGGGGUAACGGCCCACCUAGUCUUCGAUGGAUAGGGGUUCUGAGAGGAAGGUCCCCCACAUUGGAACUGAGACACGGUCCAAACUCCUACGGGAGGCAGCAGUGAGGAAUAUUGGUCAAUGGGCGAGAGCCUGAACCAGCCAAGUAGCGUGAAGGAUGACUGCCCUAUGGGUUGUAAACUUCUUUUAUAAAGGAAUAAAGUCGGGUAUGGAUACCCGUUUGCAUGUACUUUAUGAAUAAGGAUCGGCUAACUCCGUGCCAGCAGCCGCGGUAAUACGGAGGAUCCGAGCGUUAUCCGGAUUUAUUGGGUUUAAAGGGAGCGUAGAUGGAUGUUUAAGUCAGUUGUGAAAGUUUGCGGCUCAACCGUAAAAUUGCAGUUGAUACUGGAUAUCUUGAGUGCAGUUGAGGCAGGCGGAAUUCGUGGUGUAGCGGUGAAAUGCUUAGAUAUCACGAAGAACUCCGAUUGCGAAGGCAGCCUGCUAAGCUGCAACUGACAUUGAGGCUCGAAAGUGUGGGUAUCAAACAGGAUUAGAUACCCUGGUAGUCCACACGGUAAACGAUGAAUACUCGCUGUUUGCGAUAUACUGCAAGCGGCCAAGCGAAAGCGUUAAGUAUUCCACCUGGGGAGUACGCCGGCAACGGUGAAACUCAAAGGAAUUGACGGGGGCCCGCACAAGCGGAGGAACAUGUGGUUUAAUUCGAUGAUACGCGAGGAACCUUACCCGGGCUUAAAUUGCAGAUGAAUUACGGUGAAAGCCGUAAGCCGCAAGGCAUCUGUGAAGGUGCUGCAUGGUUGUCGUCAGCUCGUGCCGUGAGGUGUCGGCUUAAGUGCCAUAACGAGCGCAACCCUUGUUGUCAGUUACUAACAGGUUCCGCUGAGGACUCUGACAAGACUGCCAUCGUAAGAUGUGAGGAAGGUGGGGAUGACGUCAAAUCAGCACGGCCCUUACGUCCGGGGCUACACACGUGUUACAAUGGGGGGUACAGAGGGCCGCUACCACGCGAGUGGAUGCCAAUCCCAAAAACCUCUCUCAGUUCGGACUGGAGUCUGCAACCCGACUCCACGAAGCUGGAUUCGCUAGUAAUCGCGCAUCAGCCACGGCGCGGUGAAUACGUUCCCGGGCCUUGUACACACCGCCCGUCAAGCCAUGGGAGCCGGGGGUACCUGAAGUGCGUAACCGCGAGGAGCGCCCUAGGGUAAAACUGGUGACUGGGGCUAAGUCA
rnacentral:rRNA from 1 species